rnacentral:miRNA from 14 species
GGCUGCGGGCUCAGGGCCCGGCCCGGCCCGAAGGUGCUGGUGGUGGUGCUGGGGACGGGGCCGAGCGGGGGCUGG